GGCCGACCCCCGCUGUGGCGAUCGAUCGUAAACCCGGUCAGGUCCGGAAGGAAGCAGCCGUAGCGAUCCGGUCGGGUGCAGCGUCGGGCCGGCCCAA
rfam:Acidiferrobacter thiooxydans strain ZJ Contig_160, whole genome shotgun sequence.